rnacentral:lncRNA from 1 species
UUGGUUUUGGAGCCAACAAAUUUAUCCACAAAACAAAACGCAGAUUAAAAGCAAACACCACCAUAAUAAAUUCUUUUCUUCUCUCUCAUCGAAACACAUACCAUGCAUACUGUUUCAUCUCGAAGAAACAAAAAAAGAACAUUUUGUUUUAUUUCUUUAACUCUGUUCCUCUGUUUUUCUGCUUUGUUUUCUUUUAUCACGUCUUGUCUCAUCUUUCCACUCUCUUCUUCUCCGUCGCAAUCCAACCAUGAAACACGAUUCGACCCAUUUCACGUUUCCUCUCUCAACACGCCAAGUCUCCUAAAAGCUUAACUCUUUUCGCAUUUUCCUCUACUAGGUCACUCGAGGAAUAGAGUAAAGAAUAAAACUUUAACUUCGGUUGAUCUGGGAUUCUUCAGCUCCAAUGGCGUUGUGCCCC